AAGUCGUAACAAGGUUUCCGUAGGUGAACCUGCGGAAGGAUCAUUACUAGAGCAAAGGAUAGACAGCGCCCGCGGAGCUCGCUCCCGGGGCCACCCUACUCCGGUAGGGUUUAGAGUCGUCGGGCCUCUCGGAGAAGCUCGGUCCUGAACUCCACCCUUGAAUAAACUACCUUUGUUGCUUUGGCGGGCCGCCUCGUGCCAGCGGCUUCGGCUGUUGAGUGCCCGCCAGAGGACCACAACUCUUGUUUUUAGUGAUGUCUGAGUACUAUAUAAUAGUUAAAACUUUCAACAACGGAUCUCUUGGUUCUG
rnacentral:misc_RNA from 1 species